AUGGCGGGCGCGGGCAGCUCCAAAGAUGUAGCCGACUCUGUGGAGAAGUGGAUGGCGUUCCCGUCCGGGUCCGGGUCCGGCGACGAGAGCAGCUUCACCCUCCCGACGCCGCCGUCGCUGUCCAGCCGGAAGGAGAUCGUCGAGGAGCCGGGCGGUUCAGGCAGCGGCAGCAAGCAGCAGGGGUGGUGGCCCAAGCCGGAGCAGCGGCGCCGCAGCAGCGGCGGCACCGGCAUGGGCAGCGCCAAGCCGUCCAUGGAGGGGCGCGGGUCGUCCGACGCGCUGCCGCGGGUGUCGCAGGAGCUCAAGGACGCGCUGUCCAACCUGCAGCAGACGUUCGUCGUCUCCGACGCCACCCGCCCCGACAUCCCCAUCAUCUACGCCAGCGCCGGCUUCUACACCAUGACCGGGUACUCCGCCAAGGAGAUCAUCGGACGCAACUGCCGGUUUCUUCAGGGUCCGGAGACGGACCAGAACGAGGUGUCCAAGAUCAGGGACGCCGUGAAGGCCGGCAAGAGCUUCUGCGGCCGGCUGCUGAACUACCGCAAGGACGGCACGCCGUUCUGGAAUCUCCUCACCGUCACCCCCAUCCGCGACGACAACGGCAAGGUCAUCAAGUUCAUCGGGAUGCAGGUGGAGGUGAGCAAGUACACGGAAGGGCUGAGCGACAAGCGCAUGCGGCCGAACGAGCUGCCGGUGUCGCUCAUCCGCUACGACGACCGGCAGAAGGAGAAGGCCAUGUCGUCGAUGACGGAGGUCGUGCAGACAGUGAAGCACCGGCGCGCGGACUCGCCGGAGCGGGAGCCUCCCAAGGCCAGCGACGCGGACAAGAUCAGCUCGCCGCUCGUGGCUCCUGCCACCCCGACCGGCGGCGGCUACAAGUCGCCCUACUGGGACCUGAAGAAGGAGGAGUCGCGGAUGAGCAAGAUGAUGAGCGGGCGCAAGUCCGGCCGCUCCUCCCUCAUGGGGUUCAAGGUGGGGAAGAGGAGCUCCGUGGGGAGCAGGGAGCCGGCGGUGGUGGAGGCGCCGGAGUUGAAGAUGACGGUGGAGCGCACCAACAGCUGGGAGCGCGCGGAGAGGGAGAAGGACAUCAGGCAGGGGCUGGACCUCGCCACCACGCUCGAGCGUAUCGAGAAGAACUUCGUCAUCACGGACCCCAGGCUCCCAGACAACCCAAUUAUUUUCGCGUCUGAUAGCUUCCUGGAGCUGACGGAGUACACGCGCGAAGAGAUCCUGGGGAGGAACUGUAGGUUUCUUCAAGGGUCGGAGACCGACCAGACCACCGUUGACAAGAUCAGGGAGGCCAUCAGGGAGCAGAAGGAGGUCACCGUCCAGCUAAUUAACUACACCAAAAGCGGGAAGAAGUUCUGGAACUUGUUUCACCUGCAGCCUAUGUGGGAUCAGAAGGGGGAGCUUCAGUACUUUAUCGGCGUGCAACUUGAUGGAAGCGAUCAUGUUGAACCCCUCAGGAACCGACUCUCGGAGAACACUGAGAUACAAAGUGCCAAACUGGUCAAAGCUACAGCAGGGAAUGUGGAUGAAGCGGUCAGGGAGCUUCCUGAUGCCAACUUGAGACCAGAGGACCUGUGGGCAAUGCACUCACUAUCUGUUUCUCCAAAACCUCACAAACGGAAUAACUCUUCUUGGAAAGCGAUAGAAAAGAUUAUAGAAACCGGGGAGAAGAUUGGCUUGAAACACUUCAAGCCAGUAAAACCUCUGGGGUGUGGGGACACUGGCAGUGUACACUUGGUUGAGUUGCAAGGUAGUGGUGAAUUAUUUGCGAUGAAGGCAAUGGACAAAUCAGUGAUGUUGAACCGCAACAAGGUGCACCGAGCUAUUAUUGAAAGAGAAAUAUACUCUCUAUUGGAUCAUCCUUUUCUUCCAACAUUGUAUACUUCAUUUCAGACGCCAACACAUGUUUGUCUUAUAACAGACUUUUGUCCCGGAGGAGAAUUGUUUGCGGCGCUUGAUAAGCAACCCUUGAAAAUUUUCAGAGAAGAUUCUGCAAGGUUUUAUGCUGCGGAGGUUGUAAUUGGUCUCGAGUAUCUUCAUUGUCUUGGUAUUAUAUACCGCGAUUUGAAACCAGAAAACAUUUUGCUCCAAGCCGAUGGGCACAUUGUGCUGACUGAUUUUGACCUCUCAUUUUUGACUUCGUCGAAACCCCAUGUUAUAAAGCAUUCGACAUCGCUAAAACGAAGGAGAUCUAAAGAAUUUAUGCCACCUUCAUUUGUCUCGGAUCCUUCUACUCCAUCAAAUUCGUUUGUUGGAACUGAAGAAUACAUUGCACCAGAGGUCAUCACAGGUGCAGGACAUACAAGUGCCAUUGAUUGGUGGGCUCUUGGAAUUCUAUUGUAUGAGAUGCUGUAUGGGCGUACACCUUUUCGAGGAAAGAACAGGAAGAAGACAUUUUAUAACAUCCUGCACAAAGAUCUUACGUUUCCUAGUAGCAUCCCGGUUAGCCUGGAGGCGAAGCAACUAAUCCACGGACUGCUUCAGAGAGAUCCCUCUUCUCGCAUAGGUUCAAAUACUGGUGCAAAUGAUAUCAAGGAACAUCCAUUUUUUGAAGACAUCUAUUGGCCACUUAUACGUUGCAUGAGUCCCCCGGAGCUUGAUGUUCCGUUGAAGCUGAUUGGCGAGGAAUCUCAACCAAAAGUGAAGCCCGAGGAAGGUGUUAUUGAUACAUUUUAA
rnacentral:rRNA from 1 species